rnacentral:rRNA from 1 species
GACGAACGCUGGCGGCGUGCCUAAUACAUGCAAGUCGAGCGAAGUUUUUCUGGUUCUUGCACUAGAAAAACUUAGCGGCGAACGGGUGAGUAACACGUAAAGAACCUGCCUCAUAGACUGGGACUACUAUUGGAAACGAUAGCUAAUACCGGAUAACAGUAUUUCUCGCAUGGGGGUUAUUUAAUAGUUGGUUAUGCUAACGGUUGGGGAUGGAUUUGCGGUUCAUUAGCUUGGUGGUGGGGUAAUGGCUUACCAAGGCGAUGACGGGUAGCCGGCCUGAGAGGGUGACCGGCCACAGUGGGACUGAGAUACGGCCCAGACUCCUACGGGAGGCAGCAGUGGGGAAUAUUGCACAAUGGGCGGAAGCCUGAUGCAGCAACGCCGCGUGCGGGAUGACGGCCUUCGGGUUGUAAACCGCUUUCGCCUGUGACGAAGCGUGAGUGACGGUAAUGGGUAAAGAAGCACCGGCUAACUACGUG